rnacentral:rRNA from 1 species
GAUAAACGCUGGCGGCGUGCCUAAUACAUGCAAGUCGAGCGAACAGAUGAGGAGCUUGCUCCUCUGACGUUAGCGGCGGACGGGUGAGUAACACGUGGAUAACCUACCUAUAAGACUGGGAUAACUUCGGGAAACCGGAGCUAAUACCGGAUAAUAUAUUGAACCGCAUGGUUCAAUAGUGAAAGACGGUUUUGCUGUCACUUAUAGAUGGAUCCGCGCCGCAUUAGCUAGUUGGUAAGGUAACGGCUUACCAAGGCAACGAUGCGUAGCCGACCUGAGAGGGGGAUCGGCCACACUGGAACUGAGACACGGUCCAGACUCCUACGGGAGGCAGCAGUAGGGAAUCUUCCGCAAUGGGCGAAAGCCUGACGGAGCAACGCCGCGUGAGUGAUGAAGGUCUUCGGAUCGUAAAACUCUGUUAUUAGGGAAGAACAAAUGUGUAAGUAACUAUGCACGUCUUGACGGUACCUAAUCAGAAAGCCACGGCUAACUACGUG